UACGGGGGGGGUAAGCGUUGUUCGGAAUUACUGGGCGUAAAGGGCUCGUAGGCAGCCAACUAAGUCAGACGUGAAAUCCCUCAGCUUAACUGGGGAACUGCGUCUGAUACUGGAUGGCUUGGAUUUGGGAGAGGGAUGCGGAAUUCCAGGUGUAGCGGUGAAAUGCGUAGAGAUCGGGAGGAACACCUUUGGCGAAGGCGGCCACCUGGGCCGACCCUGACGCUGAGGCGCGAAGGCGUGGGGAGCGAACGGG
rnacentral:rRNA from 1 species